rnacentral:ncRNA from 2 species
CGCCAUCAUCAAGAGAAGGGCUGGCGCCCUCGCCAACCUGCCGACCGGGCAAGGUGGUUUCCGCAACAGGGAUGCGGCCGUCCAGACACUCAAAAGUGGCUGCGCGGCAACGAAGCGGUAGUUU